AGACGCUUUGCCAGAUGUUCAUCAUCAAUGUCGGUCAGGGGUUCAGGCACCUUUGGAACGCAUGGCAUCAGCCAUAUGGACCUGCAUGGAUGUGAUAGUUUACUCAAACAUUUUUAUGCCUUCAACUACAGCUACCACACAACUUCAUUGAGAUUUGUUUUCUAUAGGACCUGGAUUAAUAAUCUCCAACAAUAUGGAAUAGGCAAGCACAAGAGAAGAUUUGACAGUAGACGCUCAUUGUUUGAGG
rnacentral:rRNA from 1 species